GACAGAGGGUGCAAACGUUGCUCGGAAUCACUGGGCGUAAAGGGCGUGUAGGCGGGACAGUAAGUCGGGCGUGAAAUCCCUGGGCUCAACCCAGGAACUGCACUCGAAACUACUAUUCUUGAGUGUCGGAGAGGAAAGCGGAAUUCCUGGUGUAGAGGUGGAAUUCGUAGAUAUCAGGAGGAACACCAGUGGCGAAGGCGGCUUUCUGGACGAUAACUGACGCUGAGACGCGAAAGCGUGGGGAGCAAACAGG
rnacentral:rRNA from 1 species